rnacentral:rRNA from 1 species
UAAGGAAUAUUGCUCAAUGGGAGAAAUCCUGAAGCAGCAACGCCGCGUGGAGGAUGAAGGGUCUAUGACUUGUAAACUCCUGUAAAGAAGGAAAAAAUUCCCAUUAGAUGGGAGAUGAUGGUACUUCUGGAGUAAGCCCCGGCUAACUACGUGCCAGCAGCCGCGGUAAUACGUAGGGGGCAAGCGUUGUCCGGCUUUACUGGGUGUAAAGGGUGCUCAGGCGGAUUUGUAAGUCAGAGGUGAAAUCUUACAGCUUAACUGUGAAACUGCCUUUGAUACUGCAAGCCUAGAGUAUGGAAGAGAGUGAUGGAAUAUCUGGUGUAGCAGUGAAAUGCGUAGAUAUCAGAUAGAACACCAAUGGCGAAGGCAGUCACUUGGUCCAUUACUGACGCUAAAGCACGAAAGCGUGGGUAGCAAAC